rnacentral:lncRNA from 1 species
GGAAAUAAAACCCUCAUUGCUUAUAAGUGGAAAUUGCUAAAAGGUAUAUCUACCUUAGUAAUGCUUAUGAAAAUUUCAUUCCACUAGGUUAAAAAUUGUCCAUUUUGUGGAGGAGGAAGCUGUAAGGACAUCUCCAGAAGGAAAUGUGCAACUCAGGUCUUGAGAAGUGCAGGCUGCCCAGGCCACAGGACUCUCCAAAGAGCAGCAAGGAAAGGGCUCUUCAGGGAUUAACGGGUAUGCAGGAGACACUUGGUGAUAUUGAAGUUCAAGAGAAAGAACAUCAAGGGAGGCAGAAGUAGUGAACAAGAGGAAGACUGAGGACCCCCAAACUUGGACAUGACUCAGUAGAAACACACUGUAAAAUUUUCAGAAAGUUCAAGAUUCCUCUUGCUUCUGAUUAAAAGGGUCACAGCCCUCCCUAGUCCAGGUGAGUGCUCUAUCUUUGGCUGACCAAGCUUGAGAGGGAGGUGGUGAGGGUGGGGAGGGAGAAUGUGCCAGUCUGACCACGUCCCCAUGCCUGCCCAGGAAGCAGGUGGGUAGAUUGUCUGUCA